rnacentral:rRNA from 1 species
AGCUGUAAGUAAGCUUUGAUCCAGAGAUUUCCGAAUGGGGAAACCCAGCAUGAGUUAUGUCAUGUUAUCGAUAUGUGAAUACAUAGCAUAUCAGAAGGCACACCCGGAGAACUGAAACAUCUUAGUACCCGGAGGAAGAGAAAGAAAAUUCGAUUCCCUUAGUAGCGGCGAGCGAAACGGGAAGAGCCCAAACCAACAAGCUUGCUUGUUGGGGUUGUAGGACACUCUAUACGGAGUUACAAAGGACGACAUUAGACGAAUCAUCUGGAAAGAUGAAUCAAAGAAGGUAAUAAUCCUGUAGUCGAAAAUGUUGUCUCUCUUGAGUGGAUCCUGAGUACGACGGAGCACGUGAAAUUCCGUCGGAAUCUGGGAGGACCAUCUCCUAAGGCUAAAUACUCUCUAGUGACCGAUAGUGAACCAGUACCGUGAGGGAAAGGUGAAAAGCACCCCGGAAGGGGAGUGAAAUAGAACCUGAAACCGUGUGCUUACAAGUAGUCAGAGCCCGUUAAUGGGUGAUGGCGUGCCUUUUGUAGAAUGAACCGGCGAGUUACGAUUUGAUGCAAGGUUAAGCAGUAAAUGUGGAGCCGUAGCGAAAGCGAGUCUGAAUAGGGCGUUUAGUAUUUGGUCGUAGACCCGAAACCAGGUGAUCUACCCUUGGUCAGGUUGAAGUUCAGGUAACACUGAAUGGAGGACCGAACCGACUUACGUUGAAAAGUGAGCGGAUGAACUGAGGGUAGCGGAGAAAUUCCAAUCGAACCUGGAGAUAGCUGGUUCUCUCCGAAAUAGCUUUAGGGCUAGCCUCAAGUGAUGAUUAUUGGAGGUAGAGCACUGUUUGGACGAGGGGCCCCUCUCGGGUUACCGAAUUCAGACAAACUCCGAAUGCCAAUUAAUUUAACUUGGGAGUCAGAACAUGGGUGAUAAGGUCCGUGUUCGAAAGGGAAACAGCCCAGACCACCAGCUAAGGUCCCAAAAUAUAUGUUAAGUGGAAAAGGAUGUGGCGUUGCCCAGACAACUAGGAUGUUGGCUUAGAAGCAGCCAUCAUUUAAAGAGUGCGUAAUAGCUCACUAGUCGAGUGACACUGCGCCGAAAAUGUACCGGGGCUAAACAUAUUACCGAAGCUGUGGAUUGUCCUUUGGACAAUGGUAGGAGAGCGUUCUAAGGGCGUUGAAGCAUGAUCGUAAGGACAUGUGGAGCGCUUAGAAGUGAGAAUGCCGGUGUGAGUAGCGAAAGACGGGUGAGAAUCCCGUCCACCGAUUGACUAAGGUUUCCAGAGGAAGGCUCGUCCGCUCUGGGUUAGUCGGGUCCUAAGCUGAGGCCGACAGGCGUAGGCGAUGGAUAACAGGUUGAUAUUCCUGUACCACCUAUAAUCGUUUUAAUCGAUGGGGGG